rnacentral:lncRNA from 1 species
GGGGUCGGCUGUCUUGGCAGUUUGGGUCACCAGUCUUUGAAAAGACAUUUCUCAGUGCCGUUUACUUAAAACAUUCUAAAAUUUUAAGUAUGGAAGGGAAAAUACAAGUUUAGCUUCCAAUGGCGAAAGUUUGGUUAUGUUUGAAGCAGAUCCGAAGUUUUGGUUCAUUUUGGAGUGAAGGGUGGUAAGCUGCCGUGGCGGUCUCGGUUAUUCAACUUUGAAGGAGCAUUGGGCAUGCUUUAGGUAAUGGAUUGCCACACAAUUUCCUGGAGCAAGAGCGUCUUCAAGUCAGGUUUCCAAAUAAGUAAAAAUCAUCAGAAUUGAAGCUGAUACGAAUGGUUGGCAAAUUUUGGAGUAGAAGGGAGUUGCUGCCCUAAAUUCUUGGUCGUUAUCAAGGUGCCUUCUCUUCAUCCCUCUUAGUUUUUAUUUUCUCUUUUAUUUUUAUAGCAACUCGUAACUUCCACAUGUAAACUUUGAACUUUAGAUUUUACUUAUUACUUUUAACUUUUAUUUUUUAUUUUAAAACUUUUAACUUUUAACUUGAUUGGUAACUUUAUUUUUUAUUUUCAAUUUGUUAAAACUUAAACUUUUAAUUUUUACUUAAGAUUUUCCCUUUACUAUGGAUUAAUAAUAAUAACUUAAUUAGUUACUCUUACGACCAAUUAUUUAAGAAGUAAUAAUU